UACGGGAGGCAGCAGGGGGGAAUAUUGCACAAUGGGCGCAAGCCUGAUGCAGCCAUGCCGCGUGUAUGAAGAAGGCCUUCGGGUUGUAAAGUACUUUCAGUCGUGAGGAAGGUGUUAAGGUUAAUAACCUUAGCAAUUGACGUUAGCGACAGAAGAAGCACCGGCUAACUCCGUGCCAGCAGCCGCGGUAAUACGGAGGGUGCGAGCGUUAAUCGGAAUUACUGGGCGUAAAGAGCGCGUAGGCUGAUUAGUAAGUUAAAAGUGAAAUCCCAAAGCUUAACUUUGGAAUUGCUUUUUAAAACUGCUAGUCUAGAGAUUGAAAGAGGAUAGAGGAAUUCCUAGUGUAGAGGUGAAAUUCGUAAAUAUUAGGAGGAACACCAGUGGCGAAGGCGUCUAUCUGGUUCAAAUCUGACGCUGAGGCGCGAAGGCGUGGGGAGCAAACAGGGAUUAGAUACCCGU
rnacentral:rRNA from 1 species